rnacentral:tRNA from 1 species
CAGAGAAUAGUUUAAGGUAAAAUAUUAGUUUUGGGAAUUAAAGAUAAAAGUGUUUUUCUCUGA